rnacentral:tRNA from 1 species
AUGGGCGUAGCUCAAUUGGGAGAGCAACGGUCUCCAAAGCCGUCGGUUACAGGUUCGAGUCCUGUCGCCUGUG